AUGAUAAUGUGGGAGUUUUCACAAGAUCUGAUGGUUUUAUAAGUGUUUGGUAGUUCCUCCUGCGUUCAUUCUCCUUCCUGCUCCCUUGUGAAGAAGAUGCCUGCUUCCCUUUUGCCUUCUGCCAUGAUUGGUAUCAGAGCCAGGAGGGUGGCUGACUCUGAUGAUCGAACAAGAACCAAAUAUGCUCCUGCUGCUCCAGUAGAGUGGUCUUCAGGUGAUCGAGAUUCUGAGCUCCCAAACCAAGGCAAGAAUAAGGAAACUGGAACAGGAGGGCAUGCUGGGCUCCAGCCUCCCACGACAGUGAAACAUUGCCUUAGAAUGACUGUUGUUAAUACAACUGAGGAAACAGAACACAUAAUCUUGUGAUUAAGUUAUGCACAAUUUGAUUUAAAUUUAGUUUCUGGCAGUUGCUAGGUUUCACUCUGGUGUACUCUCUCGGUGUGGAAGCUGCUGAUUCAGAAAGAGAUGUGCCAAAGCUCAUGUAUUUCCUGGACACAUCUAAGUACGGAAUAAAAUGCUGGUUAAAUAAAUGAGUCAAUUUUCCAAGAAAGACACCAA